UACGGGGGGGGCAAGCGUUGUUCGGAAUUACUGGGCGUAAAGGGCUCGUAGGCGGCCAACUAAGUCAGACGUGAAAUCCCUCGGCUUAACCGGGGAACUGCGUCUGAUACUGGAUGGUUAGAGGUUGGGAGAGGGAUGCGGAAUUCCAGGUGUAGCGGUGAAAUGCGUAGAUAUCUGGAGGAACACCGGUGGCGAAGGCGGCCCACUGGUCCGGUACUGACGCUGAGGUGCGAAAGCGUGGGGAGCAAACAGG
rnacentral:rRNA from 1 species